rnacentral:misc_RNA from 1 species
AAUUUGCAUAAAUUCGCCAUUUUGUUUAGAUUUCUGUUUUCUUCGAGAUGAAUUUAAAAUAGAUCGAUUUUUCGUCGACAGUAAACACUAGAAGUAAAAUAUAAUUGAAAUAAUUAACAUCGUUCAGGUAUUUUGAAAUACAGAUAUUCAAUUAGAAUUUGCAUUUCAAUUCUCUUGGAUUUCUUUGAUUAAAGUUUACCAAACAUAGCCAGUAUAUCAUAUCCGGAAACAAAAUAUUGUAUUUUGGCCUGGUUUAAAUUUCAAUAAAGUAUCAGUCAAAUUUAUUUAGCAGAAAUAGAAAUAACAGAUUAAUUCCACUAUAUAACCUCGCAAUAUACUUUCUGACGUCUAAAAAGAAAAUGUAACAGAAAAUGAUAGAGAGUAAGGUUUUGAAGUUGGCAAACAAUAAUAAAACUGUACAGCCGUCUAGAUUAGUAAACUAUAAUAUGACACCGGUUAAUGGUAUUAAAUUCAAUCAUGUGACAUAUCCUCGGUCACUAUCUAAUUCACCAGACUUACCAACAUCAAGUCAAUCAGAGAAAGCACCAACUGCUGUCAUCGGUUGGACUUGUGUUAAUGGUCAAGCGGUUCAGAAACCAAACGUUCCAACAAAGAAAACAUCUAUAUAUCCAUCUUAUCCAAAAUCGAAAAUAGAAUUUCAAGAAACACCAAACAUUCAGGUUAAUAAUUCAGUUCAAAGGAAAACAAACGAGAAAUGUCGAUUAUAUCCGGAACUAUGCGAAAAAUUAAAGAAAAAGGGUUCCACUGAAACUAUUAGGACUAAUUCAUUUAAAACGAUUGGAAGCUACAAUAAAAUGAAAUAUUCAAAGAUUUUAAAAACGAGAUUGAAAACAAAAAGUCUAGCUGCAUUAUGUGAAGAUUUAGUAGAAGAGGAAGAGGAAGAUAGAGUAUUGCUACCGUCUAUUAGUUUAGUUUCUACUUCUGACGAAGAUGAAAAAUCAAUUAAAUUCUCAAAGUUUGAUCAGAAUCAUCAGAAUAUAUUUUAUCCGAGCCAACUAUCCGAUGAUGAAGACGACAAUGCUGACUCAGGGAUUGAUCAACUGUUAUACCAUAGACGAGCAAAUCGAAUUCUGUCACAAACUGCUUCCUUACGCCGGCAAGUGUUUGAACAAUAUCGUUCAAUAAAACAAAAUGUCAAAUUAGAAGGACGCUUGAAAAAGCGUCUAAAAUGCUUAACAACCGCUGCAAAGACUAGUGCUAAUACUACAUCAGAUAUUCUACGACUUUUUGAUAUACCCGUUCAUAGAACGGUAGAAGCAAAACGUAGGAAACGAACUUCUAUUGGGGGAAAGGAGCCGUGUGCCUUUCAGAAAACGGCAAAAUGUACUAAAGAUGCUCUACCGUUUACUAAGCAUUGUUUAGAGCAUAUAACAUACAACGUAAAUCAACAAUUAUUCAAUUUUUGCACAGCAAAAUGUGCUAAUCAAACUCCUUGUAGAGCGCCAGUAUUUGACAUAGUCAAUAAUAUGGCGUUGUGCCCAAAGCACUCAUCCAACUCAUCUCAACAAACCAGCAACCCAUUCAAAAAGAUACGUCGUAAAACGAAACCGUCCGCUUUAACUCGUCCUCAAAGAAAAAAGAAAAAGAAGACUACAACUCAGAAAUCUGAUAGAACUGUGACUAAUACGAUAAAUUCUCAAUCUAAACACAACAAUAAUAGCAUACCGUCUAAUGCUCAUGUGGUAGAAGAAAAUACUAAGGAGAAGGAUGCUGUAAUUUUUACAGAUAUCGACGAGGCUAUUCAACAAGCAACAGCUCUUCUAGAAGAACAAGAUUUUAAUUUUGUAUUAAAUGGAUUAAAAGACGACGAUGGAUUCGCAGAUUUUCAAGAUAUUGAAAAAUCUUUUAGUGAAAACGAAUUAAAGAAAUUAUCUUUAAAUUUUACCCCUAAUGAAUCUAAUGAUUAAAAGUAAACUAUAAGAACAUGCAGCUUUUUCAACAUUUCAAGUCGGUGCUUCUUAAUUAAUACUUCAUGAAACAAAACAUCAUUAUUGAUCCUCUUUUUUUGCUAGAUUUAAUAAAAUAUAUGUAUAUUUAUACGUAUAUCAAGGUAUAUUUAUAUAUAUACUAUAUAUAUAUAGAUAUAUAUAUAAAUAUAUUUAAACUCUUUCUCUC